rnacentral:rRNA from 1 species
GUGAACGCUGGCGGCGUGCCUAAUACCUGCAAGUCGCGCGCACAGACGAGGAGCUUGCUCCUCUGACGUUAGCGGCGGACGGGUGAGUAACACGUGGAUAACCUACCUAUAAGACUGGGAUAACUUCGGGAAACCGGAGCUAAUACCGGAUAAUAUAUUGAACCGCAUGGUUCAAUAGUGAAAGACGGUUUUGCUGUCACUUAUAGAUGGAUCCGCGCCGCAUUAGCUAGUUGGUAAGGUAACGGCUUACCAAGGCAACGAUGCGUAGCCGACCUGAGAGGGUGGUCGGCCACACUCGAACUGCGACACGGUCCAUACUCCUACGGCAGGCAGCAGUAGGGAAUCUUCCGCAAUGGGCGCAAGCCUGACGGAGCAACGCCGCGUGAGUGAUGAAGGUCUUCGGAUCGUAAAACGCUGUUAUUAGGGAAGAACAAAUGUGUAAGUAACUAUGCACGUCUUGACGGUACCUAAUCAGAAAGCCACGGCUAACUACGUG